rnacentral:lncRNA from 1 species
CGACAAAAAAAUAAGGCUAUUAUAGCCUUUACUUUUCAUCGAUUUUCACAACUUUUUUCAUUAAGGCCUGUGAUCCCCCCUUUGCAUUUGACCCAAAGUUUGGAAUGGCUUGGGGCAGUUUUGGGAAAAUUUCCAGUUGUCCCCCCGGGCCCUUUGUUGAUCCUGGGGUUGCCUGUGUUCCCCUCCUUGCAUUUGACCCAAAUUUUUCGAAACAUGUUUUUAUGAGUCGGAAGUGAUCGUUUUGAUUAGAGAAAUGUUUCUCAACAAUUUUCAGAAAGUUUGGUGUGAGUUGGGCCUCUUGAAUUUUUCCUGUGAUCGCCAUUUGUUGACCGUAGGGUUGCCUAUGAUCCCCCCUUUGCAUUUGACCCAAAGUUUUUGAAACAAGUUUUUCUAAGUCGAAGGUGAUCGUUUUGAUGAGAGAAAGAAAGUUUUGUGAGUUGGGGGAUCUUUAUGAAUUUUUAAAAAAUUUCCUGUGGUACUCUCAUUUUUAACCCAUCGAGUCUCAUUGUGCCCAGAUGCUCUCUGCUUUACUCUGUCUAACGCCAGAAGAUUUUACUCGUCAAGGGGAGAGUGCUGGCGCUUAAUGUUUAACUGGCCUAUCUGCCCAUGGGUGUAUAUAACCCAUUGAGUCGCAUAGAAUAGAAGAAUAAUUUAAUGUCGAAUGACACAGAGUGUGGUUGUCCAAUCACUCGAGCCAGGGGCUCAUGAUAGAAGUGCUCGAUGCGCCCGAUUGUGCCCAGAUGCGCCCUGCUUUGUUAUUUUACUCUGUCUAACGAUUACUCUGUCUAACGAUUUACUCUGUCUAACGAUUAAGAGGAGAGUGCUGGCUCUUAAUGGGUUAAACACAAAAGUGUGAAUUUUCUUUGUUUGCCUAUGAUCCCCCCUUUGCAUUUGACCCAAAGUUUUUGAAACAAGUUUUUCUAAGUCGAAGGUGAUUGUUUUGAUGAGAGAAAGAAAGUUUUGUGAGUUGGGGGAUCUUUAUGAAUUUUUAAAAAAAUUCCUGUGGUACUCCUAUUUUUAAAAACAAAAAUAUGAAUUUUUCUGUUGCAUCCUUCGUCUGGUAUCAGUUAGAUAAGAUAUGUUGUCAGUUGAUAUGUGCAAAUAACUAGAUUAAUAUCUUUCAUUGUUUAGAUAUUUUGUUCCAAGAGAAUUUGGAUCAGUGAGCAGUCCUCAAUGUUGAACCGGAUUACAUGACAGGAAAAGAACGAUUAUUUUAUACCAAACAGAAUUAUCUACAGUCGCUGUCUUGAAUCAUUUAAAUGAGGUUAGUUUAUAAAACGCCUUCCAGGCAAUGUGGCAUGAAAAUUUUAAAUUCUGAAUAAUCCCGCCGUGGCCAGGCAUAUUUUUCAAGCCUGCCCGGUGUGGAUAUACACUCAGAGUAACAUCACACAAACAUCUUAUACACCAACACAGCAGAUUUCUGAAUAAUAUGUUAUCCCUUGGGGAAUUCAUCCAAUCUAAGCCAAUAAAUGCAAAGCCCUAUGUCAGUGAGCAUUUCUUAUCAGUUGAAAGUAAUAAAUGCUUAUCAAAUAAAGAAAUAAAUGCUUAUCAACAAUUUUCAGAAAGUUUGGAAUAAUAGUUCCGGGCCUUUUUUAUUUAAAAAAUUCCUGUGCUCUCCCUUUGUUGAGCACAGAUUGCCACUUGCCUGUGGUUGCCCGCUUUGCAAAAUGUUUUAAAACGUGUUUUUAUCAAUUGAAAGUGGUUGUUUUGAUGAGAAAAUGUGUCUCAAUGUUUACUUUUUGUCCAUUUUGACGUAAAGCAACAAAAAACAACAAAAAAGCAAGGCUAUUUUGAUUGACAAUUUUUCAUCGCUAGCUUUUGAAAAAAAAAAAAAGAAAUUAAAGAAAUCACUUCAACAGAAGAACAAAGUGAUUUAAAACGAAAAACUAAAAAAAAAAAAGAAAUUGAAGAAAUCACUUCAACGGAAGAACAAACUUUAAAACGAACAACUACAAUGCUUGAAACAGAUAAGACGACUUUUUCAUAACUGGGCAGAAAACAGCAAAUAAGUAAGGUUAUUGCCUUAAGUUUUCGUCGAUUUUAACGACUUUUUUUCGUAAAGGGACAAAAACAGCAAAAAAGCAAUUAAAAAGGACAAACAACAGCAAAAAGCAAUUUUUACGACAUUUUUCAUUUUCCGUAAAGAGACAAAAAGGAGAAAAAAGGUCGGGCGACUUUUUUCAUUUUUCAUAAGUGGGCAAAAAACAGCAAAAAAAACAGCAAAAAAGUAAGGCUAUAUUUCCAUUUUGAAAAACAUGGACCUGAAAAACAUUUCAAACGUGAAAAACGGCAAAAAAGUAAGGCUAUAUUUCCAUUUUUCACAUAAGUGGCCAAAAAACAGCAAAAAAAACAGCAAAAAAGUAAGAAACAUGAAAAACGGCAAAAAAGUAAGGCUAUAUUUCCAUUUUGAAAAACAUGGACCUGAAAAACAUUUCAAACGUGAAAAACGGCAAAAAAGUAAGGCUAUAUUUCCAUUUUUCACAAGUGGUCGAAAAACAGCAAAAAAUUUUUAGCGACUUUUUUUUAUUUUUCAUAAGUGGGUAAAAAACAGCAAAAAAAGUAAGGCCAUAUAGCCUUAACUUUUCGUCCAUUUUUGGCGACUUUUUUCAUUUUUCAUAAGUGGGCAAAAAAGUAAGGCUAUAGCCUUCGUCCAUUUUUAGUGCAGAGUUCCUUUGAAACUGUGCACUUUUGUGAUGAGUGGGAAAAUUCACAUCAGUCAGUCAGUCAGCCAGCCAGCCAGUCAGUCAGUCAUAGUGUUAACUUUCCGGGGG